UGGGUUUAGACAAGAGGGAUACUGACAGGAAGAGAAAAAAAGGGAGAAUCUUUCUCCUUCUAUUUGUUAUGGGAGAAAGCUAAGCAAACAAUUGAAAGCAAACCCUAUUUCCACAGCCCUGGAUGCUUUCCAAGUAACAUUUUAAGGAAAUCGAAUAACAACUAAUAUUUUUGAGCCUUUGGCAUCGCCAUCUCCACCUCUGUCCUAGGAGGAGCUCAUGUGGGCACCAGAUCACAUGUUGAUGGUAUGACUGUCAUUUUUACCAUUCUAGA
rnacentral:lncRNA from 1 species